rnacentral:rRNA from 1 species
UACGGGGGGGGCAAGCGUUGUUCGGAAUUACUGGGCGUAAAGGGUUCGUAGGUGGCCAACUCAGUCAGACGUGAAAUCCCUCAGCUCAACUGGGGAACUGCGUCUGAUACUAGAUGGCUUGAGUGCAGGAGAGGAACGCGGAAUUCCAGGUGUAGCGGUGAAAUGCGUAGAUAUCAGGAAGAACACCGAUGGCGAAGGCAAUUCUCUGGGACGGUACUGACGCUGAGACACGAAAGCGUGGGGAGCGAACAGG